rnacentral:rRNA from 1 species
UACGUAGGUGGCAAGCGUUGUCCGGAUUUACUGGGCGUAAAGGGCGUGCAGGCGGUUUGUUUAGUCUAGGGUGAAAGCUCCCGGCUUAACUGGGAGAGGUCCUUGGAUACUGGCAAACUUGAGGGAGGCAGAGGAAAGUGGAAUUCCCGGUGUAGUGGUGAUAUGCGUAGAUAUCGGGAGGAACACCAGUGGCGAAGGCGGCUUUCUGGGCCUUACCUGACGCUGAGACGCGAAAGCGUGGGUAGCGAACAGG